GAUGAACGCUGGCGGCGUGCUUAACACAUGCAAGUCGAGCGAACAGACGCUGAUCUUGCUCCUCUCUCGUUUGCGGCGGACGUGUGUGUAACAUGUGUAUCACCUACCUAUCUUACUGGUAUCACUUCGGGACACCGGCGCUAAUACCGUAUAAUAUAUUGAUCCGCAUUGUUCAUUAGUGAAAGUCGGCUUUUCUGUCUCUUCUAGCUGGAUCUGCGCUGCAUUAGCUGGUUGGUAAGGUACCGGCUUUUCAAGGCUACGAUGCGUAGCCGAAGUGAGAGAGGGGUAGGCCGCACUGGAACGGAGACACGGACAAGAGGACUAAGGGAGGCAGCAGUAGGGAAUGGGAGGCAAUGGGCGAGAGCAUGACGGAGCAAGGCCACGUGAGUGAUGAAGGUGUUCGGAUCGUAAAAAUCUGUUAUGAGGGAAAAACAAAUGUGGAAGGAAAUAAGCACGGAGUGACGGUAACGAAUCAGAAAGCAACGGCUAACUACGUG
rnacentral:rRNA from 1 species